rnacentral:rRNA from 1 species
GAUGAACGCUGGCGGCGUGCCUAAUACAUGCCAGUCGAGCGAACGGACGAGAAGCUUGCUUCUCUGAUGUUAGCGGCGGACGGGUGAGUAACACGUGGAUAACCUACCUAUAAGACUGGGAUAACUUCGGGAAACCGGAGCUAAUACCGGAUAAUAUUUUGAACCGCAUGGUUCAAAAGUGAAAGACGGUCUUGCUGUCACUUAUAGAUGGAUCCGCGCUGCAUUAGCUAGUUGGUAAGGUAACGGCUUACCAAGGCAACGAUGCAUAGCCGACCUGAGAGGGGGAUCGGCCCAACUGGAACUGAAGCACGGCCCAGACUCCUACGGGGGGAAGCAGGAGGGAAGUUUCCGCAAGGGGCGAAAGCCUGACGGGGCAACGCCGCGUGAGGGAUGAAGGGUUUCGGAUCGGAAAACUUUUUUAUUGGGGAAAAACAAAUUGUUAAGUAAAUGGGCACAUCUUGACGGUACCUAAUCAGAAAGCCACGGCUAACUACGU